rnacentral:rRNA from 1 species
UACAGAGGGGGCAAGCGUUAUUCGGAAUUAUUGGGCGUAAAGGGCGCGUAGGCGGCUUUGCAAGUGACGGGUGAAAUCCCUCGGCUUAACCGAGGAACUGCCUGUCAGACUGCAUGGCUCGAGACCAGGAGAGGUGAGUGGAAUUCCCAGUGUAGCGGUGAAAUGCGUAGAUAUUGGGAGGAACACCAGUGGCGAAGGCGGCUCACUGGACCGGUACUGACGCUGAUGCGCGAAAGCGUGGGGAGCAAACAGG